rnacentral:rRNA from 1 species
GGCCUAUCAGCUUGUUGGUUGGGGUAACGGCCCACCAAGGCGACGACGGGUAGCCGGCCUGAGAGGGCGACCGGCCACACUGGGACUGAGACACGGCCCAGACUCCUACGGGAGGCAGCAGUGGGGAAUAUUGCGCAAUGGGCGAAAGCCUGACGCAGCGACGCCGCGUGCGGGAUGAAGGCCUUCGGGUUGUAAACCGCUUUCAGCAGGGACGAAGCGAAAGUGACGGUACCUGCAGAAGAAGCGCCGGCUAACUACGUGCCAGCAGUCGCGGUAACACGUAGGGCGCGAGCGUUGUCCGGAAUUAUUGGGCGUAGAGAGCUCGUAGGUGGUCCACUACGUCUGUUGUGAAAUUCCAGGGCUUAACCCUGGACUUGCUGCGGAUACGGGUGGACUAGAGGUAGGUAGGGGAGAAUGGAAUUCCCGGUGUAGCGGUGAAAUGCGCAGAUAUCGGGAGGAACACCGGUGGCGAAGGCGGUUCUCUGGGCCUUACCUGACACUGAGGAGCGAAAGCGUGGGGAGCG